ACUCUUUGGGGACCUGAAAAUUCUUAGGUGGCGCUCCCCCUCCGAGCCAGCCGUCCUUCCGGGGGAGCCUGGAGCAAAACCGGCUCUUGCCCGGUGGCAUUAAUAUCUCACUGGGGCCUCCAAAUGUUGUACUUGAGUUUUCUAUGACAUCCUUUGAAAUCUACAUGGAAGCUUCCAUGGCUCCACAGCUCAUUUGCUCUGCACAUCUGAAGACUAAGCACCAUUUGGAUGUCACCAGUGCUUACCACUUGUGCCCUCUGGAGUUGCAGCAUGAGUUGCACUUGGGCCUCCUCGAGCCAUGGCUGAGGUAGCCAACGAGUACUUCAGUGAGAAUCAUUUGAAAUGGCUGGAUUUUACCUACACCAAUCUUGAAGAAUGAGCAUUGGUAAACAUGGCAACAUUUUGUCCCAAGUAAAGACAAGAUAAAUCAUCUUAAAAUGAGGUUGCUCAGAAUAAAACUUAUAAAAUAAAUCCAUCUACAAACCCUGUUUCCAGCUCAAAAUUUAAGAGGAGGAUUCUAACAGUGCCUGUAAAUACAUUGAAAAUAUUGCAGAACUUACAUUAUUUUGUGGCAAAUAUUGUGUGAACUACUCUCAAAUAGAUACAAGAAAAAAAUUGAACUUGUAACUAAGAGGCCACAACAUGUAGACAAGAGACAAAUAUUAAUGACAAAGAAGAAACAUACUUUUGAAAAAUGUUUACUGCCAAAAACAAGAGUAAAUUUUAAAUAGCAGGUUUGCAUUCCAAAGAUAUUGACUAUGAAAUAAGAGAUGAGGUAAAGAGAAGUAAAGAAAGAAUCCUAGCAGAAGAGAGGAUGAUACAAACUUAAGAGUUACUAUUAUUAUUAUUUUAGAUGGGUCAGUUAACAACUGUAUGUUUAAAUUUAUGAGAAACUGCUAAAUGUUUUCCAAAGUGGCUGCUCCAUUUUACAAGUUCUAAUGUUCAAAAGGAAAGCUGGCUGACUUUAGUUAGCAACAUGUAUUGUAUAUUUCAAAGUAGUUAGAAGAGAGGAUUUGAAAUAUUUUCUACAUGAAGAAAUGAUAAAUAUUCAGGGUGAUGGAUAAUUCCAAAUACCCUGGACUUUAUCAUUACCCAUUUUCUGCAUUUAACAAAUAUUCACAUGUAGCACCUAAAUACAUAAAAUAUUAAGUAUCAAUUAAAAAAAUCAACACAAAUGUAUAGCUUUACAAUUUCUGGUGGUCAGAAGAUUGCGAUGGGUCCUCAGGGUUGCCUUUGUGCUGGAGGCUGUAGGAAUUAUAUAUUUUCUUUCUCUUUUCUAGUUUUACCUUCUGAUCUUGUAUUCUCUCAUUAGGAGCCUUGUAAUUACAUUCGAUCCACUCAGAUAACACAGGAUAAUUUGCCUUGUGUUAAAAGAUCUUAAGAUCCUUAAUGUAAUUAUGUUUGAAAAAUACCUUUUUUCAGCUAGGUAAUAUAUCUACUGGCUUUCUGGAUUAUGAUAUAGGUAUGUUGGGGAACCAUUGUUCUGUCUACAAUAUUUCUUUCUCGGUUCCCCUAAAGGACUAGCUAUCCCACAUGCAAAGUAUAUAAACCCCAUAUCAAAUCUCCAAAAUCUCAACACAUUACAGAAUCUACUUAAGUCCAAAAUCUCAAAUAAACCUCAUCAGCUGAAACAUCCAAAAUCUCACCAUGUAAAUCUUGUAUCGGUUGUGACUGUGGGUAUGAUCCAUUAUGGGUAAAAAUUUCUCUUCAAACUUAUAUUUGUAAAACAAGAAAACAUGUUACUCUUUUCAUAACACAAUGGUAGGACAGGCAUAGUUUCCCUGUUAGAGGCAUUUCUGUUCAAAGAGGGAGAAUAUAGAAUGAAAAAAGGAAUCAUUAAUCCAAAUAAUUUUGAAAUCCAGCAUGUGAGGCUCUACUAGGUUUUGAGGACUUGAAAUAAUCCUCUGUGGCUGUCAGUUUCACCUUCUGGCUUCAGGAUUCUGCCCUCUUGUCCUGCAGCUCUGCCCUCAGAAUCAUUCUUCAUUUUUCUUAAGGGGAAGCAUGUGUUUUCAGCUGAGUAAUGUUAUUAGGCAGUUUUCACUUGCAAUUCUAGUGAAUUUCUUUUAUUUCUUCCUUUCCCUGUCAUUUGCUCCUCCAUUGAUAUUUCCUUGAUAAGGCCAACUUCAUUCCUGGUUUCUGCUUAGAACCAAAAAUCACACACCUAAACUCUUCGAAGAGUCCUUUGUGUGAUUGAAUACUCUGAAAUGUUGCUGCUUCAGAAGCACUAGCAAAAGGUUGUCCAGCCAUUCCCUUUGCCUUCUCUCCAGAGCACAAUUUCCUGACAUUGAAUGUGCUCAUUUUAGUGUCUUGUGCAAUCUGGAUAAGAUGAAAAUCUUCUAAAUCAUCAAGUCCUGAUUCCUUUUUCUUAAAAUUCUCUCAAGAUUUUUUUUCUCUCUCUCUUCUUUUUUAUCUCCCACAUUGUGCUAUAAGCAAAAGGAAGAAACCAAACCACAAUUUCAAUACUUUGCUUGGAAUCCCAACUAAAAAUCAAAUUUAUCUUUCAAAAUAACAUUAUGACACAGUUCAGCUAAGCAUUCUAUCAUUAUAUAAAAAGAAUACAGUUUCUUCAUGUUUCCUAUAACUUCCUUCUGAGCUCUCACAUACAGUACUGUUAAUAACUAUAUUUCCACUAACAGUCUUGUAAAGUAAUCCAGGGAUUUUCUAUUAUGCUCCUCAAAGUUCUUCCAGCUUAAACCCAUUACACAAUUCCAAGGCCACUUAUGUAUUUUUAGGUACUUGCUACAGCAAACAAUGUCCCACUUCCAGGUACCAAAACCUGUAUUAAUUUCCUAUUGCUGCUACAACACAUCACUACAUACUUAGUGGCUUAAAACAACACAUGUAUGAUAUUACAGUUAUGAAGUUAAGAAAUCUAAUUUGAAUCGGCAGGACUCUAUUCUUUCUAGGGGCUAGAGCCAAAAAAAUAUGUUUUGUUUCAGGUUUUGUUUUGUUUUGUUUUCUGGCCUUAUCCAUGUUCCAGAGGCUGCCUGUAUCCCUUGGUUUGUGGCCUCCUUCCUCCAUCUUCACAAUCAGCAGUAUAGCGUCUCCUUCCCUCUUUUACUUUCUGCCUUUGUCCUAUAAGGUCACCUGUGAUUAUAUCAAGGCCUCAUAGAUAAUACAAGAUAAUUUCUCUGUAUUUGGAGCCUUAACUUAAUCACAUAUGCGCAGUAACUUUUGCUGUUCAGGACAACGUAAUUAUAGGUUUGGGGGAUUGUGAUACGCACAUCCUUGGGGGCCAUUAUUCUAUCAAUCACAUUAUGGCUACUGUAACUUCAAGGUAGUUGAAUUUCAAGGCUUCUGUGAUGCUGAGGAGAAGGUGAUGGAAAUAAGGUAAAUCAAAAUGUCACAAAGCUCACUCUUCUUACUGAGAUUUUCCCAUUUUUCUUGAAUAAAUGCUCUUCAGAUUGUUGCAAGCCUUUGGUUAAUUUUCCAAGUUCUGAAGAUUGAUGUUGACAAGUUUUACCAGUGUUCUGAUUGCUUUUAUAGAGGAGUAGAUUUUCAGACACCCUCACUCUAAAUUUGUGUAAAAUAAUCAACAUAUGUAGGGAGACUAUUACUAGGAAACAAAUCAAAAUAUAGCAUCUAUGUGCACUGGUAAAUACACAAAUAUAUAAAUGACAAAUACACUUCUAAAAAAUUCCAAUUACCUACUUAUUAAUUUUUCUAUAUUUUCAAUAAAUAUAUUGGUUUUAUACAGUGUAAUAUUGUAUAUAUAGUUGUGUAUGUACAUAUAAAUAUAUGUGUUUUUAAUGUUUGCUAAGUAACGCUGUGUUGAUUUUUUUAACACUUGUAACCAAGCAAAAAGAUAUAAAGCAAUCAUGCUGAAUAAAUUGGUUGUCUUUCAAUUGUUUUCUC